CUCCUAACUAAUGAACUACAGCAUCAAAAUUCAACUUACAAGCUCCUAAGGAAGGGAGUGACCAAGAGACAACAUGCAAGGAUGGAUAGAAAAUAGUAGAAGAAGUGUUACCUCAAUGCCUGGACGGAGUUGUAGAAGAAGUUCUAUUAGCUACACUAGAAAGGUGGGGAAUAUAAAAGUACAAGCGCCUCAAUAGCUAAAGCGGAGUAAGAGAUAAAUGAUGAAAUAUACGCUCAUUCCGGGCUGUCCAAAUUAGCCAAGUGAUUGUGGCAACCAC
rnacentral:lncRNA from 1 species